AUGAGAGGGUAUGCGUGCAUGAAAGCUAUCUUGAUAUGCUCAUUUUGGUCAAUGGUCAGUCUUUUUUAUAUAUAUAUAUUACUAAUAUACAAAUGGAUUCGCUGCUAAAAGCUAAAUAUUUCUGAUUGCGAGAGAAAGCAAAGUGGUUUUGGAGGUUAAAGUUAUGAUGACACUUGUGGAUGAUAUAUACCCUUUGGAAUGAAAGAAGUCUCUGUUUGUAAUAAUACCCUCUUUAGCUCUCCUCAUUUUCCCUGGAAGAAUAAAAUUAUGAUAAAAAUGAAAUUUUUGUGUUCUUAAAGCUCAACAAAUAAUUAAAUAACAAAAUCACCACUAAAGAACUCUCUCUUUGCCAAAAAUGAAACCUAGCCACCGGCUUGAAUUCAGUUCUAUCAUCCGCGCCCAAGAAGGCCAAAAAUAUUGCUACCUGUUGCUUAUUUCCCUUUCAAGUGAUGAGAUGCAGAGACACAAGGACAAUUUUCUGAUGGUGGCUAUUCAUCUUCUCUCUGAGUACAGGGUUGGAGAUAGCACCCACCGCAGAGAAUGAAGACUCUAAAGAAUUAAACCCUAGGAAAAACCUGGAGGGAGGAUAUUAGAGGAGUCCGGCUAGUUUUGUUGUUGUUUUGUGUUUUUAAAUCUUGGGGGUUUUCUUAUGUUAGAUUUCUUUAGGCGUUAUGGGUUUAAGAGGAGGAGAUCGAUUUAUUGCUGGGUGGUUCAGGUUAGUGUUGAGAGGGUUAUGGUUUGAGGAGAUCGGGUCGGUGGCUGUGUGGUUGGGUUGGAUUUGUGACUGGAACGAAGUGGUUGGGCGGUGGUGCUUUAGGGGGUUGCUAGGUCGUGCUGUGGUGAGAGGGGCAGAUGUAGGGAGGCUCGGCCACAAUGGAGCUUGGGUGUCAUGGCGAAUCGGGAUCGUUGGAGUAAGAGACUGUUGAGGGGAACAAUAGGUGAGGUGUUGGCGGCAGCACUAGGCUUCUGGCAGUGGCUAGUGGGUAUGAGAGGAAGGAACAACAACCAGUCUUUAAUGGUUGGAAAAGGUGGUUUUCGAUGGUGAUUGGGCGAAGAUUAGGCUGUGAUGUGAUUGGAGUUCUGUGAUGGAAGAGGAAGUAUAGUUGCGUUGGUUUGGCCAGAAUCUAGCGAGAAAAGGUAAAAGGGGAGACUGACGACUCUUUGUUGGUGUUUCAGCAAAAUUUAGUUGUUUAUGUUAAUAUUAUAUAUGACGGUGGAUUUUUUUUAAAUCUAAGUUUAAAAAUUAAACUGGACUUUAAUGUAAA